rnacentral:snoRNA from 1 species
UGACACUGAUGAGCACUUUAUCCCGAAACUGAUCAUCUAUUGAUGAGACAAACUUAACGGAUCUGAUUACUGAGUC